rnacentral:rRNA from 1 species
GGGUUGUGAGGUUAAGCGACUAAGCGUACACGGUGGAUGCCCUGGCAGUCAGAGGCGAUGAAGGGCGUGCUAAUCUGCGAUAAGCGCCGGUAAGGUGAUAUGAACCGUUAUAACCGGCGAUACCCGAAUGGGGAAACCCAGUGUGAUUCGUCACACUAUCAUUAACUGAAUCCAUAGGUUAAUGAGGCGAACCGGGGGAACUGAAACAUCUAAGUACCCCGAGGAAAAGAAAUCAACCGAGAUUCCCCCAGUAGCGGCGAGCGAACGGGGAGGAGCCCAGAGCCUGAAUCAGCAUGUGUGUUAGUGGAAGCGUCUGGAAAGGCGCGCGAUACAGGGUGACAGCCCCGUACACAAAAGCGCAUGUGCUGUGAGCUCGAUGAGUAGGGCGGGACACGUGGUAUCCUGUCUGAAUAUGGGGGGACCAUCCUCCAAGGCUAAAUACUCCUGACUGACCGAUAGUGAACCAGUACCGUGAGGGAAAGGCGAAAAGAACCCCGGCGAGGGGAGUGAAAAAGAACCUGAAACCGUGUACGUACAAGCAGUGGGAGCACAGGUUUACCUGUGUGACUGCGUACCUUUUGUAUAAUGGGUCAGCGACUUAUAUUCUGUAGCAAGGUUAACCGUAUAGGGGAGCCGUAGGGAAACCGAGUCUUAACCGGGCGUUAAGUUGCAGGGUAUAGACCCGAAACCCGGUGAUCUAGCCAUGGGCAGGUUGAAGGUUGGGUAACACUAACUGGAGGACCGAACCGACUAAUGUUGAAAAAUUAGCGGAUGACCUGUGGCUGGGGGUGAAAGGCCAAUCAAACCGGGAGAUAGCUGGUUCUCCCCGAAAGCUAUUUAGGUAGCGCCUCGUGAAUUCAUCUCCGGGGGUAGAGCACUGUUUCGGCUAGGGGGCCAUCCCGGCUUACCAACCCGAUGCAAACUGCGAAUACCGGAGAAUGUUAUCACGGGAGACACACGGCGGGUGCUAACGUCCGUCGUGAAGAGGGAAACAACCCAGACCGCCAGCUAAGGUCCCAAAGUCAUGGUUAAGUGGGAAACGAUGUGGGAAGGCCCAGACAGCCAGGAUGUUGGCUUAGAAGCAGCCAUCAUUUAAAGAAAGCGUAAUAGCUCACUGGUCGAGUCGGCCUGCGCGGAAGAUGUAACGGGGCUAAACCAUGCACCGAAGCUGCGGCAGCGACACUGUGUGUUGUUGGGUAGGGGAGCGUUCUGUAAGCCUGUGAAGGUGUGUCGUGAGGCAUGCUGGAGGUAUCAGAAGUGCGAAUGCUGACAUAAGUAACGAUAAAGCGGGUGAAAAGCCCGCUCGCCGGAAGACCAAGGGUUCCUGUCCAACGUUAAUCGGGGCAGGGUGAGUCGACCCCUAAGGCGAGGCCGAAAGGCGUAGUCGAUGGGAAACAGGUUAAUAUUCCUGUACUUGGUGUUACUGCGAAGGGGGGACGGAGAAGGCUAUGUUGGCCGGGCGACGGUUGUCCCGGUUUAAGCGUGUAGGUGUGUGUUCCAGGUAAAUCCGGUUCACUUUAACACUGAGGCGUGAUGACGAGGCACUACGGUGCUGAAGCAACAAAUGCCCUGCUUCCAGGAAAAGCCUCUAAGCAUCAGGUAACAUCAAAUCGUACCCCAAACCGACACAGGUGGUCAGGUAGAGAAUACCAAGGCGCUUGAGAGAACUCGGGUGAAGGAACUAGGCAAAAUGGUGCCGUAACUUCGGGAGAAGGCACGCUGACACGUAGGUGAAGUGAUUUACUCAUGGAGCUGAAGUCAGUCGAAGAUACCAGCUGGCUGCAACUGUUUAUUAAAAACACAGCACUGUGCAAACACGAAAGUGGACGUAUACGGUGUGACGCCUGCCCGGUGCCGGAAGGUUAAUUGAUGGGGUCAGCGCAAGCGAAGCUCCUGACCGAAGCCCCGGUAAACGGCGGCCGUAACUAUAACGGUCCUAAGGUAGCGAAAUUCCUUGUCGGGUAAGUUCCGACCUGCACGAAUGGCGUAAUGAUGGCCAGGCUGUCUCCACCCGAGACUCAGUGAAAUUGAACUCGCUGUGAAGAUGCAGUGUACCCGCGGCAAGACGGAAAGACCCCGUGAACCUUUACUAUAGCUUGACACUGAACAUUGAGCCUUGAUGUGUAGGAUAGGUGGGAGGCUUUGAAGCGUGGACGCCAGUCUGCGUGGAGCCGACCUUGAAAUACCACCCUUUAAUGUUUGAUGUUCUAACGUGGACCCUUAAUCCGGGUUGCGGACAGUGUCUGGUGGGUAGUUUGACUGGGGCGGUCUCCUCCUAAAGAGUAACGGAGGAGCACGAAGGUUGGCUAAUCCUGGUCGGACAUCAGGAGGUUAGUGCAAUGGCAUAAGCCAGCUUGACUGCGAGCGUGACGGCGCGAGCAGGUGCGAAAGCAGGUCAUAGUGAUCCGGUGGUUCUGAAUGGAAGGGCCAUCGCUCAACGGAUAAAAGGUACUCCGGGGAUAACAGGCUGAUACCGCCCAAGAGUUCAUAUCGACGGCGGUGUUUGGCACCUCGAUGUCGGCUCAUCACAUCCUGGGGCUGAAGUAGGUCCCAAGGGUAUGGCUGUUCGCCAUUUAAAGUGGUACGCGAGCUGGGUUUAGAACGUCGUGAGACAGUUCGGUCCCUAUCUGCCGUGGGCGCUGGAGAACUGAGGGGGGCUGCUCCUAGUACGAGAGGACCGGAGUGGACGCAUCACUGGUGUUCGGGUUGUCAUGCCAAUGGCACUGCCCGGUAGCUAAAUGCGGAAGAGAUAAGUGCUGAAAGCAUCUAAGCACGAAACUUGCCCCGAGAUGAGUUCUCCCUGAGACUUAGAGUCUCCUGAAGGAACGUUGAAGACGACGACGUUGAUAGGCCGGGUGUGUAAGCGCAGCGAUGCGUUGAGCUAACCGGUACUAAUGAACCGUGAGGCUUAACCUUACAACGCCGAAG